CAUUUCUUUUAUAAGUCACUUUGGUUAUGGUAUCUGAUUUCAGCAAUAGAAAAGAAAUUUAGACAAGAGAUUUCCAGGAAGAACAGAGUUUUCUUUUCACAGCUGAGCUUCUGGCUUCUUGCUGGCAUCUUCUCCAGACAGAAACAUUGGACUUAUGCCACAAACUCCACAAGUACAUGUGACCUGAGGACAACUCCCCUCCUGGGAAGAGCACUAGACCUACACCAGUAACUCCACCUAUCCUGGAGACCCACCUAUGCCACAAAGGCCACAUGUCUUACACCUGCUUCUUCUCCAGAUAUAGGACAUCAUGAUGUUGGCUCAAUUUCGGUAUCUUAGUGUCUGCAUGGGACCUGCAGCUGAGUGAGACAUGCUGUAAGGUGAUCCUGGCUCCACUAAAGCUCAGACUGAAAUCCCAGACUUGCUAUGCUGUCCUCAACAAGGCUGGAGAAUCCUGAGACUUCCUAUCUUCGAUAGUCUCCUAGAUGCACUGGAGGGGUACCAGGACUGCCAUACCCAGUGACUCCAACCUGCAGGAAGAAGCCAGAUUUGGCCAUUGCUCCAAUUCCUGAAGGAAGCAUGAUGAGAGCAGGCAUUAGAAGCUGACCAGGAAGAGCAGGGAUUCCAAAGCAGCAAACCCAAGGAUGUCGGAAGAGUCUGAGUCUGUUACCUCCUCUAGAUGAAGACCUCUGAAAAUCCACCGUGAGGAUGAAACUGAGAGGAGGCACCCAGACACCUGGAUGGGUAACUGAGCUGAACAGCUCAUCCGCCUCUCAUAAGUCACCCCAGUGUAACAGUUCAAACCUAUUUCCCAGAACCCUUCUUACUAUCUCUCUUUUUCUUUUAAGGUACCACUAUAUAAUAAAUUUCUCUGUAGAACUCA